AAGUCGUAACAAGGUUUCCGUAGGUGAACCUGCGGAAGGAUCAUUACUGAAUUUCAGGAGGCGUUGUUGCUGGCUAUGCAAGUGCACACGUCUUCGAUCUUCUAUACACACCUGUGCACAACUGUAGACGAGCUGGCGCAAGCUGGCGAGUCUAUGUCUUUACACACCCAAAUGUAUGUUACAGAAUGUUAAUCAAUGGUUGCCGUAACAAGUGACUAUAAAACCUAUACAACUUUCAACAACGGAUCUCUUGGCUCUC
rnacentral:misc_RNA from 1 species